rnacentral:rRNA from 1 species
AUUUUUAAGUUUGAUUCUUGCUUAUAAUUUUUAUAUUAUGAUUAAAAAAUACAUGAAAAUUAUAGUGUUCCUUAUAUUAAAAAUUAAAAAUUAUAUAAUAUAAAUCUCAGUAUUUAAUUUUAAAUAUUAAUUAAAAUUAGAAUUGGUAAUCAUUUUAAUCCUGACUAAAAUUUGUGCCAGCAGUCGCGGUUAUACUUAAAGGGUAAAUAAAUACAAUUUGGUAUUUAUAGUAAAUUAUUAGUUAAAUAAAAUUUAUUAUUUUUUUUAAAGGGUAAAAUCGGAAUUUAAUUAUAAUAAUAAUUUUAAAAAAAAACACAAAUAAACUAUAAAUUUUAAUAUAUAAACUAGGAUUAGAUCC